GAGAGUAGCAGGCGGUUUUCUAAGUCUGAUGUGAAAGCCUUCGGCUUAACCGGAGAACGGUGCAUCGGAAACUGGAUAACUUAGAGUGCAGAAGAGGGUAGUGGAACUCCGAUGUGUAGCGGUGGAAUGCGUAGAUAUAUGGAAGAACACCAGUGGCGAAGGCGGCGUACCUCGGUCUGACAACUGACGCUGAGACUCGAAAGCAUGGGUAGCGAACAGGAUUAGAUACCCUGGUAG
rnacentral:rRNA from 1 species